AUUGAACGCUGGCGGCAGGCUUAACACAUGCAAGUCGAGCGAGCGGCGGACGGGUGAGUAAUGUCUGGGAAACUGCCUGAUGGAGGGGGAUAACUACUGGAAACGGUAGCUAAUACCGCAUACCAUCAGAUGUGCCCAGAUGGGAGUAGCUAGUAGGUGGGGUAAUGGCUCACCUAGGCGACGAUCCCUCGCUGGUCUGAGAGGAUGACCAGCCAAAUGGGAACGGAGACACGGUCCAGACUCCUACGGGAGGAAGCAGGGGGGAAUAUUGCACAAUGGGCGAAAGCCUGAUGCAGCCAGGCCGCGUGUGUGAAGAAGGCCUUCGGGUUGUAAAGCACUUUCAGCGAGGAGGCGUUACUCGCAGAAGAAGCACCGGCUAACUCCGUGCCAGCAGCCGCGGUAAUAC
rnacentral:rRNA from 1 species